AAAUCCAAUGCAGAAAGAAGCUCGAUGUGGAUCAGUUCCAAAAUGUCCAUUGUUGCCGCAAUGGGCUAUCGGGUUCUUGUCUCGGAUCGUUGAAACGGAGCAUCUGGGGACUAGCCAUGACAGAGGACAAUGAAAGCAGGCCUCCAAUUAAGCUUGAGUGUGAGAGUAUUUGGCUUUGCUGGGAUUGUUGAGGCUGUCAUUCUUCUUCCAAUAAAUUAUCUGGGAAGCCAGCUCUCCUUCAGUAUUUCAAAUGUCAAUGAUGGCUCAAAAUGGUAAUUGUCUGGUUCAGAAUGUCAUCUGUAGGUGCUGUUGAUUGAAACUUGUGGAAACAAAACAAAGAUCUUCCAUCAUAUGGUAUUGUGGAAUCGUGAGUUCCAUGAUAGGUAGAAGGAAAUUUUUUAUUAGGGUAAUUUCUGGAAUUGAUAUCUUCUUUGGUUUUCAUUAUAUUUCCUUGAGAAUACUAAUAGGUUUUCAGUGUCUUUUAUUUGAUUUAGAUCAUCCGUUUGUUUUGUUUGAA